CAGCCGCCGGGUAAUACGGAGGGGGCUAGCGUUGUUCGGAAUUACUGGGCGUAAAGCGCACGUAGGCGGCUUUGUAAGUUAGAGGUGAAAGCCUGGAGCUCAACUCCAGAAUUGCCUUUAAGACUGCAUCGCUUGAAUCGCGGAGAGGUGAGUGGAAUUCCGAGUGUAGAGGUGAAAUUCGUAGAUAUUCGGAAGAACACCAGUGGCGAAGGCGGCUCACUGGACGCGUAUUGACGCUGAGGUGCGAAAGCGUGGGGAGCAAACAGGAUUAGAUACCCGUGUAGUCCCUGUCUCUUAUACA
rnacentral:rRNA from 1 species